AUCACUGUGACCCAAAGCCAGAUCAGAACGUGCAAGAAAGACAUGGAUCUGCCGUGAUCAGCUUUCAACACAUGCUGUUUUGCAGCAAUGCUGAUAUUUAAGUUCCAUCAGGACCUCAAAUCUCCUUGUGAGCAGUAUGUUGUGAACUUCAAGGAAAAUGUCUAAACUUCAUGAUUUAAUGACAGAGAGGAAGGAAAAUGUUUAGAAGUUGCUGCAAGACCACAGAAUGAUGAACUCCACAAGCAUGAUAAUAAUCAAU